UACGAAGGGGGGCUAGCGUUGCUCGGAAUUACUGGGCGUAAAGCGCACGUAGGCGGCUCUUUAAGUCGGGGGGUGAAAUCCUGGAGCUCAACUCCAGAACUGCCCUCGAUACUGAAGAGCUUGAGUCCGGGAGAGGUGAGUGGAACUGCGAGUGUAGAGGUGAAAUGCGUUGAUAUGUGUCGGAACACCAAUGGCGAAAGCAAUCUCCUGGACGCAAACUGACGCUGAGAUACGAAAGCCAAGGUAGCAAACAGG
rnacentral:rRNA from 1 species